GAACUUCUACCUUACGGUCAUGAACUGAGAGUCUCCAGUGCAGAUUCGUCGGUCACGGGUACCAGUGAGACGCUGGGAUGUUUCUGGAGCUGAAGUAGUAAAGUCCAGGUUUGUAGCUUUACGGCGCUCUUACUACGCACAGCGUGUUGCUUCUUACAGGAGCUGCAGUUCUGCAUGUUCCCAGGCAGAAGACAAGGAAGCUGUUCUCAGAAGGCCUGGCCCAAGAGAAAGGAUCCACCUUGCAAAUUCUGUCGAGAGGAAGAUCCCUGACUGAAAGGCCAGCUCACUGCAGUGUCGCUUGUUCCAGGCCUGCAGCCAAAAGGAUGAACGAACGUACACACAGGAAGACUAAUAAAAACCCAUGUGUCUGACACCCACAUUUAACAGAUAUUCGCAUGUGACCAGAUACAUGGUUUUUUUACGUUAACAAAGAUGAGUAAAACAACUAACAAACAGACAAAACUUAAGGCAGAAAAAAGAAAUUGCAGAAAACGGAAGGAAAAAACCAAACUCACUUUGAGUAGUAUUCUUGGAUGUGAGAUAUACUGAAUCCAUAAGGGUUGCUGUAAAAAAGGGAAGAAUGAGAAGGAAGGACUCAAAAAUUGUCAGCUCAAGUAAAAGAUUGAAAAGAAGAAAUAGAAGAUAAAAGUCAAGAAAAUCUCCCAGAAAGUAAAGCAACAAACAACAGAAAGAAAAAAAGAAGGGAGAAGCCAGGCAUGGUGGCACAUGCCUGUCUGUAACCCCAGCACUUGGGAGGCUGAGGCAGGAGUAUUGCUGUGAGUUUGAGGCCUACCUCACUCCUUAGGAAUCUACUUCAGCAGAACGAAUGCCUGCAGUGAGGAAGAGGAAGGCCUGGGACUUGGAAAGCGAGGACUCAAUGAUGACGUGUGACAUCUGGUGACCCUGUGACUCAAGAGGGGAGGAAGCCAAAGAGCAGCCCUCGAAGCUGUGGAGACCACACCCCUGAAGCCGGGUAGGAUGUGCUGGGUCUCCGCUGGGCCUCCAGCAACUCCCUGUCCUGGCUCAAGAUUCUACAGCCCCCAGUCCGCACGCUCCGGAAGCGCUGUCUCUACGAACCUCUGAUUGUUCCCCCAGCAUCGGUAACAGUGCCAUGGCCAGCGGAGCUCCUGGGGGGGCGGCAGCAGGCCCGUCCACUGUGCCCGGCUUCCCAAAGGCUGCCUUCCUGCCCGUCUGCUGCUGCUCCUCAGACUUGCUGGUGUUCCCUUCCUCUCUGACAGCCAAGCACUGGAGCGUCGCAGCCCUCAGCACUUCAGUCCCCGCCUGCCCCCGAGUGCCUGGGGAGACUCAGGCUAGUGGCUCUGGACAUCAGGUGUGCACCGAUGACUGCCACUGUGGCAUCUCCAGGCGGAGCCUCUCCCCGGGCCCGCACCAGCUCAGCCGCGCUCUGGGGCCACGGGUCCCGAGACGAGCUCCUGAUUUCUGUCCAACAGCGCGCAGCCUUCCCAGCAGCAGCUGCCUUCUCAUUCAGUUUCUCUCACUCUGCACCCGCCCGUCAGCGGAUCUUAUCAGCUGUGCCCAGAAUCCAGCCACAUCUCUGCCACCACAGCACUGACUGCCUGGUCCUGCACUUGUCACCCCUGCAGGUGUGACAUGGGAGACCCCGACAGUCCUGCCUCCCGCCCCACCCACAGGCCCUUCCAACAGAUCACACAAAAUGACCUCUUAAGACAUGCGUUUUGCUGAACCCGCUAAUAGGUUUCCUGUCUCGCUCAGAAUGGAAUCUGAAUUCCUAAACUGCUGGCCGGGUCCCCAUUCCGGUACUGACUGGACCAGGCCAAGCUGCUGUGCCCGGGGACCUUUGCCCUUGCUGUUGUUCCUUCUUUCCGCAUCUCAGGUUGGCGUGUAGUUCCCCUUCCUUCUGGGCUCACCCAACAUCAAGCCCUGCCCAGUCAUGCUUCACAGAGUACAGGGCAACCCCAGCCUGGCCUUCCCUGUCCUCAUCACCAUUUUUUCAACGACCUGACUUUACCCUACAAGGAACCACGAAAAGAACGACUCAGGCCCAAAGUUAGCAGGUUGAGGGAAAUAAUUAAUUCAAACAGAAGUAAACAAAUAGAGAAUAAAGAAACAAUAGGGAAAAAAUGAUACUACAUGGGCUUUUUUUUUGGUACCGGGGAUCGAACUCGGGACCUGGCACUUGUGAGGCCGACGGUGGCACCACUGAGCUAAAUCCCUGGCCCUUAAGUUGGUUUUUGAAGAUCAGCAAAGUUGGUGAACCUUUAGCUAGGUAAUGAAAAAACAUUGAAAUAAUUACAAUCGAAUGAAUGAUUGUACAACUGAUGCCACAGAAAGAAAUUAUAAGAGACUUUGCAACUAUGCACCAAUAAAUUGGACAAUUACAAGAAAUGGAUAAAUUCCUAGAGAGACAGCAUUUAAAAAUCUGAAUAGGCCUGUAACUAGGAAGGAGGGUGAAUCAGUAAUUAAAAACUUCCCCCAGAGAAAAGCCCAGGACCAGGUGGCCUCACUGGAGAAUACUCCUUUUUUGUGUGUGUGCCCGGGGAUUGAACUCGGGACCUUGUGCUUGCGCGGCAGGUGCCGGAACCACUCAGCUAAAUCCCCGGGCCACUGGAGAAUACUUCUAAACUUAGGAAAGAAUUAACAACAAUGCUUUUCAAACUAUUUCCAAAAAUUGAAGGAAAAGGGAACACCUUCAAAUUCAGGAGGCCAGCAUUACCCUAAUUCCAGCUCCAGACAAAAAUAUCACAAGAAAGGAAAACUACAGACCAGUAUCUUCCCAAAUCCUCAACAUGCUGGGUGCAGUGGUACAGAAAGGCUGAGGCAGGAGGAUUGAAAGUUUGAGGCCAGCCUUGGAAAACUUAGUAAGACCCUAUCUCAAAAUAUAAAAGAACUGGGGAUGCAGCUCAGUGGUAGAGCACUCUAGGUUCAAUUCGAUCACCGGAACUGCAAAAAUAAAAAAAUAACAUGCUGUGACCAAGUGAAAUUUAUCCCAGGGACACAAGGAUUGUUCAACAUAUGAUUAUUAAUAAAUGUUAGGGCUGGGGAUUUAGCUCAGUGGUUC